GUCUUGUUUUUCCUCUCCUCGUACCUUGCGGCAGCUCGCCAGCCGGGCUGGCCGUCGGCCACCCCUCCCCCGUUUUCCCUUUUGUGCGGGCACACGGCUUGGUAAACGUGAGCCGGGAUCGAACGGACAUGGCUUCCAAGCCUAAACGUGGGCCUCCGCUAAGCGAUCAGAGCCGCUACUACGAAGGUACCGGGUCCACUCCCAGCCAAGCGGGAUCGCUCUGAAAUUGCCAGCGAGCCACGAAAGAGGCAGGAAGAGAGACAUCCGGUUCUCCCAAGAAGGCGUGACGACCAGCCAUUUUUCUUCUCCCGCCUCUCUUGUUCCCUUUGUUUUUAUUUUUCUACAUCUUUUUCAUCUGCAACCAAAUCUGUCGCCUUGCUUUCGGAGCAGUUUCCAAAGAGAGACCACCCCCAAAGACCAGGGGCCUCAUGUACAAAAGAAUCGUAGAAACAAGAGUCCUCUCCCCCUACCAACUACAAAAGCGUGCCUCUGCCAUCGGCCCCCUUCCACCUUCAGCACUGGACAACAGAAGGAUAAAGCGGCCAUUCGUGUUGACAUCACGGGAGCCGGGAGCGCAAGGAGGGAAGGAGGGGAGCGCUUUGUACUGAAAUGACUUGGUCCUCACCCACCUUGCUACUUGUUUUUCCAAAACCACCUCCAGGGCUGAUGCCUGCUCUCUUCCGGCUGGCGAACAAGCACUCCGAGGCGGGCAAGCCAGUGGAGUUCAAAAUUUUGCAUUAUUAACUAUGAAACUGAACUUUGAACUAGUUCGCAUAGAAAAUGAAUUUCCCCAACAAUGUUAGUGGUGUUAUGUAUAUAUUUUUUUCUCCAAUCAGAUUUCAGCCUCUAUGUGUGGCCAUGUCAAUGUAAUCUGCCUUCAGACUCAGAAGUGCAGGCUCAUGAAACAUACUCACUAUUAGCAAUUGCUGUUUUGUUCUUUUUUGAAAAACAAAUCAAAUUUCAGAUUCACCACUGUUGGCCUGUGCAGGGUUUGCAUUUUCCAUCCUCUGAUUAGUUGAGCUAAAUAGUCUUGCGAUGUGCACAAUGGGUGACCGGGGAGGAUGAAUAACGUGUAUUGUUCGACUACAUUUUCAAGACGGCCUUUUCAAGAAAAUCUUGUGAGGAUAGGUUGGCCAACAUCAUUGCUGGCUGGCUAUUUUCAACCCAGCAAAGGAUUUAUUCUGCACUUCCAAAGCGGCACAUAUGAGCAACUAGCUUACAGGCAAUAGCCAAGAAAGGAGGUGGAUUUUAUCUAUAAAUAAUCAGCAUCCCUGGCACCUCCUGAGGUCUGAUUUGCUGACUCCAUCUCUGUGCCUCCUUACAGAAUUUUUCAUAGCUACAGUCCAUCUGAGAUUUCUGUAUAUAUUUUUGCAUUGCUUCUGAAGGCUAUUUCCUAUUAAAUCAAUUUCAUCCCUGUGCCACAAAUUGAGCCUCUCCAUGUAACACGAUAGCAAGCACACAUUCAAGACAAGCACACGAACACAUUCAGGCAUGGAAACAAGACAUACCCACGUUUCUUUCCUCCUGCAGGCAGGUGCCUUGGACACAAAUACAAAUUGGACAUGUCUGUAAGAAAACCAGCCCAGAUGCCAGUUGUACAAGCCACUUAUUCGGCCACACAUUAGGAAAUCCAAUAUGGAUGUGUUAAAUGAAUCCUAGCAGAGACAGAAAGAGCAAGUGAGGUGAGGGUAGCGAGCGAGGAAUACAGACAGGACGCGAGGCAGCUUGUUGAUUACUCUGGUGUUUAACAUGAGGAAAUGCCAGAAUGAAAACAGACCUCAUAUAACCUUGUCAACUGCCUUGUUAGUUUGGUGGUUUAAAUUUCCAUUUGUAUAAACUGACUGGGGAAUAUGUGGCUUGAAGUUGUAACCUUUCACAGAGCAACAGUUGCACACACUCAAACAUAUCAACAUUAUAUCAAGAAGUAUGGAGACGUGGUACAUAUUGUUUGCAAAACCGCACGCAUGGAUUUAUCUGUGUUGACCAAAUGUCAUCCAUGCACAUACUCAGUUGUUGCUUUUGUUGCUACCUUGACAAUCUCUGGACUCAAUUCCCUGUUCUCACACCUGUGAAGGAGAGGAGGGAAAAGCGAUAACCACCAAUUGCGACUGAAGAAGCAAACAAUUGAGCAUUUGCGUCCAUGACAAGGUCACUGAAUACCUGCCAAACAAAAUCUAUCACACUCCUUUUCCUGGCAUAGAAGGGCAUUCCAAGUUUAAUAAAUGGAUUUGUGGCAACUCAAAAUGGCAAUUGUGUGUAAAAACGAAAAAAAUGUCCAUUGUUGUCAAAUAUACUACAGUAUACUUGGUCUGCAUGUUUGUACUGUGCAAUGGAAUCAUGAAAUAUACUAUAUAUAAAAUGUUUCCUGCUUAUUCUAUUCAGAGUACAGUUUGAUAAAAUAUGAUUUCAUGUACCUGUACUGCAAUCCCAAAUAUGGUUGUGAACUGAGUAACCAUGCCAAAACUUCGGCAAGACAUGACUUCUCCAUGACCUUUCUCUUAAUAAAACACCUCAUCAUACACCUCUGGAGACAUGCAUUCAUAAGCACCACAAGCUCUAAAGUAACGAUAACAAUAGAGCACAGUCUCUACUCUAUGGGCUGUCCUCAUUUGACAAACCUUAGUUUAAUCACCCUCUAGAGGUAGUCAGAGUCAGAAGCUGCAAUAAUAAACGUUGCAGGCAUUCCUGCAUGACUGUGAAGGGACAAGAAUAGCCCCUGAAGUCAUAAUCAUGCCGUCACGAUCAGACCUCCAGUCUUCAAGGGGGCAGUAGCUAU